rnacentral:rRNA from 1 species
GACGAACGCUGGCGGCGUGCUUAACACAUGCAAGUCGAACGGAAAGGCCCCUUUUGGGGUACUCGAGUGGCGCACGGGUGAGUAACACGUGAGUAACCUUCCCUUGACUUCGGGAUAACUUCAGGAAACUGGGGCUAAUACCGGAUAGGAAUCCUUGCUGCAUGGUGGGGGUUGGAAAGCUUCGGCGGUUUUGGAUGGACUCGCGGCUUAUCAGCUUGUUGGUGGGGUAGUGGCUUACCAAGGCUUUGACGGGUAGCCGGCCUGAGAGGGCGACCGGCCACAUUGGGACUGAGAUACGGCCCAGACGCCUACGGGAGGCAGCAGUGGGGAAUAUUGAACAAUGGGCGGAAGCCUGAUGCAGCAACGCCGCGUGCGGGAUGACGGCCUUAGGGUUGUAAACCGCUUUCAGCAGGGGCGAAGCUUGUGGUGACGGUACCUGCAGAAGAAGCACCGGCUAACUACGUG